ACGAACGCUGGCGGCACGCUUAACACAUGCAAGUCGAACGAGAGAAGAGAAGCUUGCUUUUCUGAUCUAGUGGCGGACGGGUGAGUAACACGUGAGCAAUCUGCCUUUCAGAGGGGGAUACCGAUUGGAAACGAUCGUUAAUACCGCAUAAUAUAAUUGAACCGCAUGAUUUGAUUAUCAAAGAUUUAUCGCUGAAAGAUGAGCUCGCGUCUGAUUAGCUAGUUGGUAAGGUAACGGCUUACCAAGGCGACGAUCAGUAGCCGGACUGAGAGGUUGAUCGGCCACAUUGGGACUGAGACACGGUCCAGACUCCUACGGGAGGCAGCAGUGGGGAAUAUUGCACAAUGGAGGAAACUCUGAUGCAGCGAUGCCGCGUGAGGGAAGAAGGUUUUAGGAUUGUAAACCUCUGUCUUCAGGGACGAAAAAUGACGGUACCUGAGGAGGAAGCUCCGGCUAACUACGUGCCAGCAGCCGCGGUAAUACGUAGGGAGCGAGCGUUGUCCGGAAUUACUGGGUGUAAAGGGAGCGUAGGCGGGAUCGCAAGUCAGAUGUGAAAACUAUGGGCUUAACCCAUAAACUGCAUUUGAAACUGUGGUUCUUGAGUGAAGUAGAGGUAAGCGGAAUUCCUAGUGUAGCGGUGAAAUGCGUAGAUAUUAGGAGGAACAUCAGUGGCGAAGGCGGCUUACUGGGCUUUAACUGACGCUGAGGCUCGAAAGCGUGGGGAGCAAACAGGAUUAGAUACCCUGGUAGUCCACGCCGUAAACGAUGAUUACUAGGUGUGGGGGGACUGACCCCUUCCGUGCCGCAGCAAACGCAAUAAGUAAUCCACCUGGGGAGUACGACCGCAAGGUUGAAACUCAAAGGAAUUGACGGGGGCCCGCACAAGCAGUGGAGUAUGUGGUUUAAUUCGAAGCAACGCGAAGAACCUUACCAGGUCUUGACAUCGUAUGCAUAGCUCAGAGAUGAGUGAAAUCUCUUCGGAGACAUAUAGACAGGUGGUGCAUGGUUGUCGUCAGCUCGUGUCGUGAGAUGUUGGGUUAAGUCCCGCAACGAGCGCAACCCUUACUGUUAGUUGCUACGCAAGAGCACUCUAGCAGGACUGCCGUUGACAAAACGGAGGAAGGUGGGGAUGACGUCAAAUCAUCAUGCCCCUUAUGACCUGGGCCUCACACGUACUACAAUGGCUGUCAACAGAGGGAAGCAAAGCCGCGAGGUGGAGCAAACCCCUAAAAGCAGUCUUAGUUCGGAUUGUAGGCUGCAACCCGCCUACAUGAAGUCGGAAUUGCUAGUAAUCGCAGAUCAGCAUGCUGCGGUGAAUACGUUCCCGGGCCUUGUACACACCGCCCGUCACGCCAUGGGAGUCGGUAACACCCGAAGCCUGUAGUCUAACCGCAAGGAGGACGCAGUCGAAGGUGGGAUUGAUGACUGGGGUG
rnacentral:rRNA from 1 species